ACCUUACCAAAAGCUCUCCGAACUCGAGCCAACCAACCCGAUAGCACAUAAUACAGCUAAACAAGACAAUCAGAAGCAGGAAUGCGGGAAACGGAGCGGUAACCCAUGAAACGACCGGCCGGGUCGUUACACUUCAGGUGAUAUGCUUGAGACAAAUAUGGCAGGUGUUGCACAGAUAUCAACCAGUGACAACUGAGGUUCGGAUAGACAGAGCGGCGUGCCUCCUCAGUAGGACCCCGGGGAUCAUCGUUGGGUGUCGCACUCCACUUCUUCGGAGUUGCUGAUUUGAGUCCAUAGGUACUAUUACAGGUGUAUAUGUGUAGUUUUGGGCAUGUUGGGGGCCUUGUCCUGGCCUGUUGAGAUUGUCUUACACUUUUAGAGGCUUGCAGGCUAGCGGUCAUUGCAUAUAUAUUUUUUGUAUGGCCCUAUCGGCCUUCUAGAUAGCUGUUAUACUGUUGUUGCAGCCUUGUUGGCCUAGGUUUUAUAUAUAUAUAUAUAUAUGUCGUGUUGGGAUUU